rnacentral:lncRNA from 1 species
CUAAAUGGAUAUAUCUACCAUGGUGUAACUUGGGUUUACGUACGAUGGCCUAUUUAAAGUUCACAUGGGCCGGCAAUCUGCAGCGUCUCUGGAAUAUGGCUGUACCCAUGGCACGAUAGGGCAUGGAACAUAUGGUUCACACCUAAUAUUUUCUCAAGUUCUUUUCUUCCAUGGACAGCACACCACAUACCUGGUAUAAAGAUUGUGUUUAUAUGGUGCCACAUAAAAAAUGGUAGACCCAUCUUAAUCAUUUCCUUAUAAAAGUAGCUAUAGAACCCAAAGGGAAGAGCAUCCAUAACUAUACUAGCUAGCAGUUGGCAAGGCACACACAUAGCUAGCGUUCCCUAAUGGUUUACGAAGAUGGGUCUCCUUGCCCCCGAAAAAAAAAAAGGAUGGAUCUCCACUAGUCUCUAGGCACGGGAUGCAUCCAGGAAACAAGUAGCAUCCCCAAUUCAUGCAGCAAAGAUGCAAAGAUGGUCUUGGAAAGUCUUUUUAUCCAAAGACAAGACAUGUAUGAUGUUCAAGCAAGCAAAUUAAGGUAGUACGAAGUAGUUACAUCCACAAAAACAGUCU